rnacentral:rRNA from 1 species
AUUGACCUCGGAUCAGGUAGGGAUACCCGCUGAACUUAAGCAUAUCAAUAAGCGGAGGAAAAGAAACCAACGGGGAUUGCCCUAGUAACGGCGAGUGAAGCGGCAACAGCUCAAAUUUGAAAUCUGGCUCCUUUGGGGUCCGAGUUGUAAUUUGUAGAGGGUGCUUUGGUGUUGGCUGUGGUCUAAGUUCCUUGGAACAGGACGUCGCAGAGGGUGAGAAUCCCGUACGUGGCCGCCAGCCUCCGCCGUGUAAAGCCCCUUCGAUGAGUCGAGUUGUUUGGGAAUGCAGCUCUAAAUGGGAGGUAAAUUUCUUCUAAAGCUAAAUAUUUGCCAGAGACCGAUAGCGCACAAGUAGAGUGAUCGAAAGAUGAAAAGCACUUUGGAAAGAGAGUCAAAAAGCACGUGAAAUUGUUGAAAGGGAAGCGCUUGCAGCUAGACGUGCCUUGGGUUGAUCAGCCGGGCUUUUGCCCGGUGCACUCUUCCUUUGGCAGGCCAGCAUCAGUUUGGGCGGCUGGAUAAAGGUCUGUUAAACGUGACUUCCUUCGGGGAGAGCUUAUAGGGCAGACGACAUGCAGCCAGCCUGAACUGAGGUCCGCGCAUCUGCUAGGAUGCUGGCGUAAUAGCUGUAAGCGGCCCGUCUUGAAACACGGACCAAGGAGUCUAACAUCUAUGCGAGUGUUUGGGUGUCAAGCCCGAGCGCGUAAUGAAAGUAAACGGAGGUGGGAACCCUUUGGGUGCACCAUCGACCGAUCCUGAUGUCUUCGGAUGGAUUUGAGUAAGAGCAUAGCUGUUGGGACCCGAAAGAUGGUGAACUAUGCCUGAAUAGGGUGAAGCCAGAGGAAACUCUGGUGGAGGCUCGCAGCGGUUCUGACGUGCAAAUCGAUCGUCAAAUUUGGGCAUAGGGGCGAAAGACUAAUCGAACUAUCUAGUAGCUGGUUCCUGCCGAAGUUUCCCUCAGGAA